rnacentral:rRNA from 1 species
UGGGGAAUAUUGGACAAUGGGCGAAAGCCUGAUCCAGCCAUGCCGCGUGUGUGAAGAAGGUCUUCGGAUUGUAAAGCACUUUAAGUUGGGAGGAAGGGCAGUCAGUUAAUACCUUGCUGUCUUGACGUUACCAACAGAAUAAGCACCGGCUAACUUCGUGCCAGCAGCCGCGGUAAUACGAAGGGUGCAAGCGUUAAUCGGAAUUACUGGGCGUAAAGCGCGCGUAGGUGGUUCAGCAAGUUGGAUGUGAAAGCCCCGGGCUCAACCUGGGAACUGCAUCCAAAACUACUGAGCUAGAGUACGGUAGAGGGUGGUGGAAUUUCCUGUGUAGCGGUGAAAUGCGUAGAUAUAUGGAGGAACACCAGUGGCGAAGGCGGUUGCCUGGCCUGUAACUGACGCU